rnacentral:rRNA from 1 species
UACGGGGGGAGCAAGCGUUGUUCGGAUUUACUGGGCGUAAAGGGCGCGUAGGCGGCCACCGCAAGUCGACUGUGAAAUCUCCGGGCUUAACCCGGAAAGGUCAGCCGAUACUGCGGGGCUAGAGUGCAGAAGGGGCAACUGGAAUUCUCGGUGUAGCGGUGAAAUGCGUAGAUAUCGGGAAGAACACCCGUGGCGAAGGCGGUUCUCUGGGACGGUACUGACGCUGAGACGCGAAAGCGUGGGGAGCGAACAGG